rnacentral:hammerhead_ribozyme from 1 species
AUCCAGCUGACAAGUCUCAUAUGAGACAAAACGCGCGUCAUGGAU